rnacentral:misc_RNA from 1 species
GCGGUUUCCUUCAUGGCGUCGGUGAAGCUCCAUGAUGAGCUUGAGAUCACUGCAAAGGCUCUGGGGCACAAAGGUGGAUACUCAGGGUCGUAUGUAUUACUGAAAAACAAGACGACGGGAGAAGUUGUUGCUGAGGGCCGGCAUUCGAUGUUCGGUAAACUUCAGAGCAAGAUAUAGUUCAUUAUUCUCAUUAUUAUGUUGAACUGUG